rnacentral:lncRNA from 1 species
UUGAAUUAAAAACCGUCGCAAGCGAGUUGUCUCAGUCUGUUAACUGUGUCAACGAACAGACAUUCUUCUAUUCCUACAUCUGGUACUUGCAAGAACGCUUUGAAACAUUGUUUACUCUGAGAUAAGCCUGGUUUACACGGUCAAAGUUUGUGAUCACAGGAAUUUUGCAGAGGUUAAGACUAAGUUUUGAAGGACGUCGUGUAUGAAAUGUUUGAGGAAACUGACUUAGUCUUAGCAGGGCCGGAUUAACCACGUGGCAGAUGCGGCAUAUGCCGCAGGCCUCGCGCUUAUGGGGGCCUCGCGCUUUACUGUGCCACGCCCAAUUUUACGAGAACACGCCUAUUUUCUAUUGGGACACGCCCAUUUUAGGUGCCUCGCGAAUUAGGGACCUCGCGCAUUUAGGCCCCUAGGAUUGGCAGUUUACCCCCAGGAAAAUAUACAAUACUCGUAUGCAUGUAAUCUCCAGUUGCGCUGAUCUGUUAUAUAUGAUCCUGUUUAUAUUGUUGAC